rnacentral:lncRNA from 1 species
CUUCUGUCCAAAUUUGGUAGAAAUUCAGUAUAGUUUAAGAAAGUUAUUAAAAUUUCAAAAACUUUAACCACAGAGUGAAUAUUUGUGGACGCCGCCGCCACCGACGACGACGGAAUGUAGGAUCGCUUAGUCUCGCUUUUUCGACUAAAGUCGAAGGCUCAACAAAAAGGAUUCCAUGUAAUGGUAACUAAGUGCAUUUAUAAGUAAAAUACAGAAAAAUAGAAAAUACAUUUUUACAAAUUUCUUUCUAGAUACUAGCUCUUGAUCAUAAACAAGCAUCUGUCCAAGUUUGGUACAAAUCCAGGAAAGUUUAAGAAAGUUAUUAAAAAUAUAAAAACUUUAACCACAGAGUGAAUAUUUGUGGACGCCACUGCUGCUGCUGACAGGAUGUAGGAUCGCUAUGUCUCACUUUAGUAACAAAAGUCACAGGCUUGACAAAAAUGAAGAUUACAGAUUACUUUAUUUCAUUUUCUUGUCUAAAUCCAUUUUGUUUUAUGAUAUGUGUUAUAUAUCUGUUAAUUCAGAAAUGUGUGCAGCAUUGAUUAUCUUGAUUACUGGUCAAUCAAUACAAAUGACAGAUAAAUUGUUGUGAUUUUAGGAAAUACUGAAUACACAUAAUGCUAAAAGUUUUAUUUUUGUGUUAGUGUUAAAUUCACUCACAGUUUACCGAGUCUUGCACUGAUUUAGAACUUUAUAUUUUGUACAGUCAUCCAUCUAAUUCUAACAACUAUAUGGUGACCUUGAGAUGUCUUUCUUAUUGUGUUGUAUUGUCAAAUUGCUGCCUUAAUGAAACAUAAACAAUGCCUGGUUUCAUUUAUACUGAGCAUAUAAAAAAAUGUUACAUAUAAAUAACAAUGAUCAGAAGGUCUAAAUGGGGCUAACAGAAAAUAAUGGGGUCCUAAAAUACAAAACAAAGGAGAAAAAAUGGCAUAAGUAACAAACAAUGAAGACCCCUAUCUCGACCCUGAUGUACAGCAUUAAAUCAUUACAAAAUAAUAAACAUACAAACAGUCCAAUACAUUAUCAACUGUUACCCUGACAACAGUUCAAAAAGGAUUUCUACAAAUAAAGAUGAGACAACUUUUAAAUAAAUGCUACAAAUCGUUCUACAUACCAAAUUACAAUUAAUGAUAACAAAUCGUUCUACAUACCAAAAU